rnacentral:rRNA from 1 species
AUGAUAUCCGUAAGCUCCUGCACGAUGGAACGUUUAGUCAUGAAGAAUGAGGUCGCCUCAAUUAAUAUUGAAAACAAUAAAAAUGAAGACACUUACCUGCUGGUUGUGACGGCUGCUCUGGCUCAAACACGAAGCUCGACGAGGGACCGUGCUGCUGUGGCUGUGGAGAAAACACGAAGCUCGACGAGGGACCGUGUUGCUGUGGCUGUGGAGAAAACACGAAGCUCGACGUGGGGCCAUAUUGCUGUGGUUGCUGCCACGUUGAACUGCCAGGUUGGUCAGGACGGGGUGGCCUGGUUGUCGGCUGAUGUGCUAGACGUGGACGUGGUUGAUGUCGGUGCAUGGAGUGAUGCGGCUGCUGCUGCUGGUGCUGAACAACGUCGGUUCUCCGGGUGCACGUGUAGCCUCGUACACAGUCUGUAUCUUGUUCUGAAUUCGUUCCAAGAAGGGUUGUAG